UAAAGAUUCAUCGCUGAUAGAUAGGCAUGCGUUCCAUUAGGCAGUUGGCGGGGUAACGGCCCACCAAACCGACGAUGGAUAGGGGUUCUGAGAGGAAGGUCCCCCACAUUGGUACUGAGACACGGACCAAACUCCUACGGGAGGCAGCAGUGAGGAAUAUUGGUCAAUGGGCGCGAGCCUGAACCAGCCAAGUCGCGUGAGGGAUGAAGGUUCUAUGGAUCGUAAACCUCUUUUAUAAGGGAAUAAAGUGUGGGACGUGUCCUAUUUUGUAUGUACCUUAUGAAUAAGGAUCGGCUAACUCCGUGCCAGCAGCCGCGGUAAUACGGAGGAUCCGAGCGUUAUCCGGAUUUAUUGGGUUUAAAGGGUGCGUAGGCGGCCUUUUAAGUCAGCGGUGAAAGUCUGUGGCUCAGCCAUAGAAUUGCCGUUGAAACUGGGAGGCUUGAGUAUGUUUGAGGCAGGCGGAAUGCGUGGUGUAGCGGUGAAAUGCUUAGAUAUCACGCAGAGCCCCGAUUGCGAAGGCAGCCUGCCAAGCCAUGACUGACGCUGAUGCACGAAAGCGUGGGGAUCAAACAGGAUUAGAUACCCUGGUAGUCCACGCAGUAAACGAUGAUCACUAGCUGUUUGCGAUACACAGUAA
rnacentral:rRNA from 1 species